UUCCAGGAGAUAAAAACACCAUGAGAGGGUCGUUUCAUCACAAAGUUUUUUUUCGACUCUUCGAAACUUCAUCUCAUCUUAAGCUGAUUUUUUCCUGUCUCGCCAUGGCCCAGAAACAAAGUAAGUUAAACUCUAUCUUUUAAAAAUACUUGUCUAGAUAAAAUGUUUUGCUUUCUAUUUUGAAUGUCUUGUUGUAAACAAUGUUUUAUAGAUUUUUAAGUAUAAGAUUGUUAUAUUAACUAAUUGAGCAUAUUAUUAUUUUUUAGAAAGUAUUUUUCACCUAACAAGCUUUCCGUUUUAGUCACAAACGCUUUGGAAUUGAUUGCGUUUCAAGAAUUAGAUCGAAUCAGCGCUGAACAACUCAGAAUCCAGAAUUCGAAUGCUGUCUCCGAUCCUAUUCAAGACAUCCAACAGUUUUUGACUCAGCCGGGUUUUGUCGAUUUAACCCAAUCAUCCGAAUUGACUGGAGAAGAAUCUUCAAUUGAACAGCUUGCAACGCCAGAGACCACCACCAGUGAUCGCUAUGAUGAAUCUGAACUUCCGUCAGGACAACGUGUGAUUCCGGUCGAUGGUAGUAGACAGAGAAAUAACAGAGAGUCGGUUGAAGACACCAACUUAAACGAUGUAACCAGAUGGACAUCUACACAGCUGAACGCUUGGGAGCAAUCGUCUUGGAGCAGUGAUUGUGAAGUGCCCACGAGAGGUCGUCAGACACCGUUUGCUUUUCAGGAAGAAGCAAUAGAUUCUGUGAAUAAUGGUCAAGGUUGUAUUGAAAACUUAUUUGUGGAUAUGAUAAAUCGUCUUAGUAGACAACGUGAAGAAAUUCUCACCAAAUUGCAUCAACAGCAUAAUGAGAUUUGCAACAGACUAGCCAUUUACGACACUUACUUCGAUGAGAUUCGCGAUCGUCUGAAUAGACAAGAUGACAGAAUUCGCGAGCUGAUAGACAGCUGUGCCCGCUCUUCCCGCGGAAUGUUUGAAAAUUUUGCAAUCAUUCACGAUGCGUUACGUGAACACUUACGAGAGCGUCGUUUGAUUGUGGAUCUCCUCGGUGCUAUACAUCACCAAUUAUUUCGUAGAUAGAUAUCAUCCUGUUUAGCUUUGCUACAUCUCUUACAUAGCAUGUUUUCAUUAUAUUUUUUAAAAAAAUGUAUCCAUGAUUUUCACACUAUGAUUUAAAAACAUGUAUUACUGUUUAAUCUUUUUCUCACUGAUUUUUAAAACAUUUAUCCAAUAACUUGUAUCUUUUCAGUCUGUUUUUAAAAAUGGUAUCUUUUCAAAAUUGUAUUCAACAUAUUUCAAUCUUGUCUUUUCACACUGU